rnacentral:rRNA from 1 species
ACCAACAGGGAUUGCCUUAGUAACGGCGAGUGAAGCGGCAAAAGCUCAAAUUUGAAAUCUGGCACCUUCGGUGUCCGAGUUGUAAUUUGUAGAAGGUAACUUUGGAAUUGGCUCUUGUCUAUGUUCCUUGGAACAGGACGUCACAGAGGGUGAGAAUCCCGUGCGAUGAGGUGCCCAAUUCUAUGUAAAGUGCUUUCGAAGAGUCGAGUUGUUUGGGAAUGCAGCUCUAAGUGGGUGGUAAAUUCCAUCUAAAGCUAAAUAUUGGCGAGAGACCGAUAGCGAACAAGUACAGUGAUGGAAAGAUGAAAAGAACUUUGAAAAGAGAGUGAAAAAGUACGUGAAAUUGUUGAAAGGGAAGGGCUUGAGAUCAGACUUGGUAUUUUGCGUUCCUUCCCCUCGUGGGUUGGUUCCUCGCAGCUUACCGGGCCAGCAUCGGUUUGGAUGGUAGGAUAAUGACAUUGGAAUGUGACACCGCUUCGGUGGUGUGUUAUAGCCUUUGUUGAUACUGCCUGUCUAGACCGAGGACUGCGUCUUUGACUAGGAUGU